rnacentral:precursor_RNA from 12 species
UCAGAAAUGGAUGUCCUGCAUACGAGGUUACGUCAUACGAAGAAUUGGUAUGUUAAGUUUUACCAGUUCAUCGUCUGACGUUUAACUUCCUAUGAACUACUUUCAGAAAAUUGC